UCCGGUUGAUCCUGCCGGACCUGACUGCUAUCGGAUUGAUACUAAGCCAUGUGAGUCAUUGCAGCAAUGCAAGGCAGACGGCUCAGUAACACGUAGUCAACCUACCCUAUAGACGGGGAUAACCUCGGGAAACUGAGGAUAAACCCCGAUAGAUCAUUAUGCCUGGAACGGUUUAUGGUCCAAAUGAUUCGUCGCUAUAGGAUGGGACUGCGGCCUAUCAGCUUGUUGGUGAGGUAAUGGCCCACCAAGGCUAUUACAGGUACGGGCUCUGAGAGGAGAGGCCCGGAGAUGGGUACUGAGACACGGACCCAGGUCCUAUGGGGCGCAGCAGGCGAGAAAACUUUGCAAUGUGCGCAAGCACGACAAGGUUAAUCCGAGUGAUUCCUGCUAAAGGAAUCUUUUGUUUGUCGUAAAACCACUAAUGAAUAAGGGGUGGGCAAGUUCUGGUGUCAGCCGCCGCGGUAAAACCAGCACCUCAAGUGGUCAGGAUGAUUAUUGGGCCUAAAGCAUCCGUAGCCGGCUUUGUAAGUUUUCGGUUAAAUCUAUAUGCUCAACAUAUAGGCCGCCGGGAAUACUGCAAAGCUAGGGAGUGGGAGAGGUAGACGGUACUCUGGAGGAAGUGGUAAAAUGCUUUGAUCUCUAGAUGACCACCAGUGGCGAAGGCGGUCUACCAGAACACGUCCGACGGUGAGGGAUGAAAGCUGGGGGAGCAAACCGGAUUAGAUACCCGGGUAGUCCCAGCUGUAAACUAUGCAAACUCAGUGAUGCAUUGGCUUGUGGCCAGUGCAGUGCCGCAGAGAAGUCGUUAAGUUUGCCGCCUGGGAAGUACGUACGCAAGUAUGAAACUUAAAGGAAUUGGCGGGGGAGCACCACAAGGGGUGAAGCCUGCGGUUCAAUUGGAGUCAACGCCGGGA
rnacentral:rRNA from 1 species